AUUGAACGCUGGCGGAAGGCUUAACACAUGAAAGUCGAGCGAGCGGCGGACGGGUGAGUAAUGUAUGGGAAACUGCCUGAUGGAGGGGGGUAACUACUGGAAACGGUAGCUAAUACCGCAUACCAUCAGAUGUGCCCAGAUGGGAUUAGCGAGUAGGUGGUGUAAUGGCUCAACUAGGCGACGAUCCCUAGCUGGUCUGAGAGGAUGACCCUCCACACUGGAACUGUGACACGGUCCAGACUCCUACGGGAGGCAGCAGUGGGGAAUAUUGCACAAUGGGCGCAAGCCUGAUGCAGCCAUGCCGCGUGUGUGAAGAAGGCCUUCGGGUUGUAAAGCACUUUCAGCGAGGAGGCGUUACUCGCAGAAGAAGCACCGGCUAACUCCGUGCCAGCAGCCGCGGUAAUUC
rnacentral:rRNA from 1 species